rnacentral:rRNA from 1 species
AAGCACCUACGGGGCGCAGCAGUGGGGAAUAUUGCGCAAUGGGGGCAACCCUGACGCAGCAACGCCGCGUGAUUGAAGAAGGCCUUCGGGUUGUAAAGAUCUUUAAUCAGGGACGAAAAAUGACGGUACCUGAAGAAUAAGCUCCGGCUAACUACGUGCCAGCAGCCGCGGUAAUACGUAGGGAGCAAGCGUUAUCCGGAUUUACUGGGUGUAAAGGGCGUGUAGGCGGGCCUGUAAGUCAGAAGUGAAAUCUGGGGGCUUAACCCCCAA